UACGUAGGUGGCAAGCGUUGUCCGGAUUUACUGGGCGUAAAGAGCGCGCAGGCGGCUGGUCAAGUCCGAUGUGAAAUCUCCCGGCUCAACUGGGAAACUGCAUCGGAAACUGAUCAGCUUGAAGGUGGGAGAGGGUAGUGGAAUUCCCGGUGUAGUGGUGAAAUGCGUAGAUAUCGGGAGGAGCACCAGUGGCGAAGGCGACUACCUGGCCCACUCUUGACGCUGAGGCGCGAAAGCUAGGGGAGCGAACGGGAUUAGAUACCCCCGUAGUCC
rnacentral:rRNA from 1 species